rnacentral:lncRNA from 1 species
UCCUAUCCAUACAGGCAAUGCUCCAUCGAACUCGUUCAUUGCAAGAUCAAGGGAAAUCAAUUGUGCGCAAUUUUGGAGCAUAGGCGGGAAAUUACCGGAGAAGUUAUUGUUACUCAAGUGUAGGAAGUUCAAGUUUGGCAUUGAAGAACACCUCGGAAAUUCUCCCACAAACCUAUUCUUGGACAAAUCCAAGAAAACUAGGUUUUUCAACUCACAAAUAGGUCUAGGAACGUGACCAGUGAUGUAAUUGGAGGAUAGACUUAGCCCUGUAAGAUAUGGAGCUCCAAAAUCUGAUGGCAAAGGUCCUGACAAGCUGUUCAUGGAUAAGUCCACUUCGGUGAGGUUUCUCGGUAAUGUUGGUAUCUGGCCACUUAGUUGGUUCAAACCGAGAGCGACUGAUUGCAAACUAGUACAAUUCACUAGUCCAGUUGGUAUAGCUCCACUAAUGCUGUUAUUAUAAAGGGAAAGUUCCUCCAAGCUGGUGAAGUGCCCCACCAUGUCUGGCAGCAUUCCUGCCAUAUUGUUGUUAUCUGAGCUCAAAUAACGCAAUUUGCUGGAUGAACAGUGUGGCAAUUUCGUCACGAAGUCUGUCAGGUUCCCAGAUUCAAGACUCCCAUCGAGAGUUAGACUCUCUAAAUCACAUAGAUUUUUCAAGUCCACCGUCAUUGUGGCUAAAUUACCGUUAUUUGUAAAAUGGAGUUGUCGGAGGGACGUCAUACCUCCUAGCGCAUCAGGGAAUGGACCAUAAAGAUAGGUUGAAUCGAGUCCUAGCUCCUUGAUGCUUGUUAGGUUCCAGAACCAACACGUUUCGAUUCGGUGGCCCAAAUAGUUUCCGGAGAGAUCAAGCUCCUCUAGUUUUGUGAGGUUUACGUGUGUAAGCGACUGGUUUGCAUUUGGAAGCGAGCAAUUGAUAAGAAUAAGGGUCUUCAGAGAUGUGCUUGUGUUGGCCACGAGAAACACAUCCGCGCUGCUGAGAUUCAUAUAACUCAUGUCAACAUAUUCUAGGAAAUGGAGAUGAGUUAACCAUGAGAUAUCUGAUGUGGGUGUAUCUUGCAUGGAACUGAGGUCAAGCUGUCGCAAGUUUGAAAGGUUUCCAAGCUGAGGCCUCAGUAUACCCGACAUGCUAGUGCCAGAGAGGUCGAGAUACUCCAACUUUGAAAGGCUGAAAAACUGAGCAGGGAAUCUACCAGAAAAUUGUGUGAUUGACAGACCAAGGUACUCCAAAUUUAAAAGGUUAGCAAGCUGAGCAGGCAAUCUACCAGAGAAUGGUGUCCAUGAGAGAUCGAGGUACUCCAAAUUCGAAAGGUUGGCAAGCUGAGCAGGCAAUCUACCGGAGAAGUGUGUAUCUGAGAGAUCGAGGUACUCCAAAUUCGAAAUGUUGGCAAUCUGGGCAGGCAAUCUACCGGAGAAUUGUGUCGCUGAGACAUCGAGGUGCCUCAAGUUGCUUAAAGAACACAAGAAUUCUGGGAACAAAGAAGUACCGUCUGGUCCAAGUAGGUUGGUGUUGCUAAGACUCAGGUACUGUAGAUGCUCGAGAGAAACCAGGGAAGGACUUAUCUUGCCGUCCAAAUCGGUGCCACCAAAGUCAAGCUCGAUCACAUGGCCGGUUUCGUUGCUGCAGGUCACGCCCCACCAGCGGCAACAAUGUUUGUGCCGUCUUUGCCACGAGGCGAGGACGUCGUCGGUGUCGUUGACGGCUUGCUUGAUGGCCAGCAGUGCGUCCCUCUCGUGCGGCAAGCAGCUCGCGCCAGCCGCAUGGGCUGGCUGGGGCUGCCGGGCAUGGGCGGCGAUGGAGAAGAUGGCGACCGUGGCGAGGAGCGAGGCGAGCAGCUUGGCAACCGAGCGAUGCAUGGCGAGAGUGCAGCGCAUAAUGUGGAGUCGUUUGUGAGACGUGUAGACGUGUGGGUGCCGUCAGUCCUCUGCUUGUCCUGCCUGAGUCGCGACUGAGGCACUUGAGAGAGUAUUAUUAUGAUAUGCACGUACUCGUGAUGAUGAGCAACAGAUCACACUGGACGCACGAUAAGAAAGGUGAUGACACAUAUGCAAAUAUCUUCGUGGAAAUAGUGUUGACCGGAUCGGACACGGCUAUUGAUAAUCGUGGGAAUAUUUGACGCGGCUGUCACCGAGGUUAUUUCUUUUAGAAAGCGCACACAAGAAUUAGGCCAAAAGUUACCUGCCUUCUGCAAAACAAAAUUAGGCCAAACGUAGACAUUCUCAUGCGGCAAAGACAACGACUUUAAUCUUCGGCAGCAGGGCAUGCUUCUCCCAUUCUGAUGUAUUUAAUUAGUUAGAGGAACAUGCUAGUGUGGUUAUGGGUAACCCCAUCCAGUUGGCUAGCUAGUGAUAGCCCUUUUUUCUAUGAUACUCCCUCCGUCCAUAAAUAAGUGUACAUAUAGCAACAUAUAUGGCAUGAAAAUGAUAUAUUUGAAAAUUUCAUGUAAAGAUAAAUCUAUUGAUACUUAUUUGACGUCAUAAAUGCUAGCAUUUUUUUCAAUAAAGUUAGUCAAAUUUGAACUAGUUUGACUGAUAGAAAAGGAAAAAGUACACUUAUUACCGGACGGAGGGAAUAGACUCAAUGAAAACUGUCAGGUUCGGGAAAAAAAAACCCCACGUCCUCCUCCUCUCGCGACAUGGGGGGUCGAUACCCACACGUCGCCGCCGACUCUCCUUCUUUCUCCCUAGCUCUCAUCGUGUUGCUGCCGAAGGCACCAUCGGUGAAGCCAGGGCGGCUCCAAGGACGGCGGCGGUGGGGCGGUCCUAUGAGCAAUCUAUCCCCAGUUCUCCCGGCGUCAUGGCUGGUGGCGCGGCCUCACUCACAUCCUCUCGCACCCUCUCGUUGAAUGCUCCCUCACAUCCUCUCGCACCCUCUUAUGCAACCGAACCCACCAUGUGUACUCGAUAUGGCUGGACUCAGCCUGACUUGUUAGGAACUCCUAGCACACAUGUCUCGGGAGUGGUUUAAGUUUUAUGUGGGACCAAAUACUUGAAUUUUGCACCAUGCGGAUCUUGUUGGGCCUGAGUCUACCAAACACGCCACAUCAAACUGGCCACAGACACUUUACAAAUCUGAAACCGCCAUAAUAUCACUACUAGUAGUAAUCUUUUGGGUAUGAAGGCACAUGUAAACUUUCAGCAGCAACCAUCACGAAUGUUAGUUACCGUUGGAAUUUCAUGUCCAAUUAACUUAUAUGCUUCUUCCUACGAUGAACGAAUCUCAUGCACAAAAAAUAUUUAAUCACCCUCCUCUAGCCACACGGGGGAAAACCUAGUCACACCACGAGGCCUCCUCUACCCUGCUUUGCCGCCGCUGGAGGGGACACAUGCAGAGCAGCGUGUGCCCGAGGGAAGGUGGCUGUGGGGCAUCCUUGUUGGCCUGCUGGUGUCAUGCGUAGGACUCACAAUGGCUGAUAGUGCGUGAUGAUCCGGCACUUCGUGACGGUUUGGUGGUCCUCCUGCUUGUGGGGUGGCGUCCCUAUCCGGUGGCAUGGCCUUUCCCUGAGCGACCCUUGGUGGUGUCAGCUUGUCAUCUUGUGCUAGAGUACUUUGUCAGCUGCUACUGGGACAUGUUUUCCGAGUAGAGAUUUAUUUGGUACGCUCAAAAAUACUGUAAUAGGCGUCACCAUAACGGAUUGAAAUCAGAGAACCAUUAUUCCCUUUCCCCCCCUAUUUUCUGUUAUUUUUUUAAAUAAUUCAGGACUUCAAAAAUGUUUGGAAUUAAAAUCAAAAUGUUUGUGAAUUUUAGAAAUAUCAUCAUUUCAAAUACAAAUCCGGAUUUUAAAAAAUGUUUGUGUAUUCAUAAAAUGUUCAUGAUUUUUUUAAAAACAAAUUCCAUCGAUUUUGUUUUUUUUUAAUUAUGAAAAUGUAAAAAAUUUAUAAAAAACUUCCUGAAAGUUGCAGAGAUGAUCGCAAUUUAAAAAAAAAUGUUAAUAAAUUUGUAAAAACUUUUUGUGAAUUUGAAAAGUGUUCAUGAUUUCAAAAAUUGGUCAUGAUUGACAACAUUGUUUGUGAAUUCAAAAAAUGCUCAUGAUUUGUAAAAGAAUCCAUGAAUUUGGAAGAAAGUUAACAAUUACAGAAAAAUAUGAACAUAUUUCAAAUGUAAUGGAAAUAUUUUGAAUUUAUAAAAUGUUUACCCCAAUUUUAAAUAAGGGUCAAGUUAAAAAAUCACCUAUUUGAGAAAAAAAUAUUGGCUAUGCAGAAACGUUCUCUGAAUGAGUGCCAAAAUUUGGCUAUGCAGAAACGUUCUCUGAAUUAAAUAUGUUUCUUCACCUGCCAUACUGAUACGUGUUUUGAAAGUCUGGAAUUUGUCCGAAUGUUGUUUUUCCAUCGGUUGGUUUUGUGUGGGGAGUUAAUGGAUGAUUAUGAAUGCAAUGGAAUCUGUUUUCUCGUGAUGUUAUCUUGGUUGUUGCAUAUCCCGACAUGUUUCUAUCUCCUUGCCACUACCAACUUGUUACCUGAAUCCAGUACUUUGCUGUAGUUUUGUUCGCUGAAUUCACGAACACAAAAUUUCGUUCAGGAGUAUGAUUUUUUGCUGAAUGCGCGCCUAAAUUUCUGUCUCAAAAAGAACAUAUCAUGCAGCGGGUGGAGCUCAAAACGACCAGGAAACAUAUCAUUGCCUUUCUUUUUUAUCUGGUUAUGCGCAAAUGUUCACUCGACUUAAAUGUUUUCUUCAUCAGUCAUACUGAUCUGUGAUCUGAAAUUCUGGAGAUGUCAGAUUGAAGCAGAGGCUGUGCAAUUGCCCAUUGCAAAUUGGAUGGUUUCAUCCAGCUGGUUAAACAAUUGCUCAUUGCACAACAAAAAAGUUAUCUGCCAUCCUUGCUGACGAUCUUGUGCUACUUUGUCAGCACUAGUUUGCUACUGUGACAUGUUUUCCGAGUAAUCAUUUUAUUUGGCACCGCUCAACAAUAUUGCAUCAAGCCACAAGAGAACAGAUUGAAACGGGGAAACUUUAUUCUAGAUGACACCAUUAAACAAGAUGAGAGAGGAGGAUCCCUAGCACUUUGUCUAACAGCGUCGAAGCGAUGGUCCGAGCCCGAGCUGGCCAAACGGCCCGGCCCGCCAGGCACGGUAUACCCACGUGUUGUUUCACCUGCUAGGUUGUUUUUUGGUCAUUUCGACCUAUUGGGGUGUUUUUAGGCCAUACAUAUGUAAGAAGUAAUCUAAAUAAAAACUAAAUAAAUAAGUGGGCAGUGUUGAGCCGGCCCAUGUGCCUAGCCUCCAGGCCCGGACAUGGCUCCUGACUUGGCGCGUGUGUCUAGCACGAUCCAUUUAGUCCAUGCGGUGCCUGCAUGCUAACAGGCUGGCCCAGCUAGCACGACCCCUUCGGCCAGCUUUAGUCCCAUGCAAAGGGUAAAAGAGGUGCUUCCCUGUUCGGUGCAUAGAGCGCAACAAAGCUACUAUACACGUACCCCCUCGUGUGUUGGGUAGCGUUUGGGCCGACCCAUUUUACGGGUUUUUUCCUACCUUUUUUCCUUCUUCUAUUUUUUCCUUUUUCGUUUUCACUUUUAUUUUCUGUUUUCGUUUUUCUUCUCUUUUUUUCUCAUUUACCUUCAUUUUUUUGUGAGUUUACUUUUAAAUCGACGGAUGUUUUUUUAUCAAAUUAAAAAAAUGUUCAUCGACUUCAUUUUUUAUUUAUCGUGAUCUUUAAAACUGUUCAUCAACCUUCUAAAAAAUUUCAUCGAAUUUCAAAAACGCUCAUCAAAUUAGAAAUUUCUUCGUUUUUUAAAAAUGUUCUUGAAUACACAUUUUGUUCAUCAAGUUCAAGAAGAUUUCAUAUAAUUCGAAAUUUGUUCAUCAAAUACCAGAAUUUGUUCAUCAUUAAAAAGGAUCAUCAAAAUUGUUCUUCAAAAUACAAAAAAUAUUCAUUAUUUUGAAAUCCCGAGCAUUUUCUGAAUUCGAAAACUAUUUUUGAAUUUGGUUAACAUUUUUUUAAUCUAUGAAUGUUUUUUGGAAGUUAGAAUUGUUUUUGAGAUCUAAAAAACACAGGCACCUGACGCCCCACAUGGGCCAGCCCAGAAGGGCGCACCUGNNNNNNNNNNNNNNNNNNNNNNNNNNNNNNNNNNNNNNNNNNNNNNNNNNNNNNNNNNNNNNNNNNNNNNNNNNNNNNNNNNNNNNNNNNNNNNNNNNNNCCCCCCGCAGCCUCGCCUACGUCUCCGGCUUCUUCUCGUGUGGGAGUGGGACCUGUCACCGGCAACCAGCACCGCCCGGAUAUGCCCUCAGGGUUCGAGACAGGGAAAGCCUCAUUGCGGUGGUGCUUCGUGCUUCUGGAGACAUCGCGAUACAAGAUACACAAGUCGUCACCUCUGUUUACUCGUGGGUAAGCGCUUUCCUAUACACAUCCUAUGUAAGAUUAGACAGUCGCUUGAAACAAACAAGUUUGUUUUUGCUAAAGUUGUACACUUCCAAACAACAUUUUAUAAUGAAUCUUUUAAGACGAUUGAGAUAUAUUAAAAUUAACCAGCUAAGAAUUAGCAAAAUAACCGGAAAACUCGUAUGCUUAAUGCGCACAAAUACAAUAUAUUAAGAUGCGGAAAAUUGUACAAGCCACUCUGCUAGNNNNNNNNNNCAGUUCAGAUUACAAAUCAUCAACCGUCGACAUGAAUCGAAACAGAGCUAGAAACUAAAAAGACGUGCCGGGUUCAUCAUGACAAAUACAAACCAAUGAGAGUUACAUGCAUCAGAAAAACUUCAUAUCACAAGAUAGACAAAUACGUACUUGUACAAGCUGCUAAAUACUUCUUCACCGUUAUUUAUUCAUGGAGCAGAGUGCCGCCGGCAUUAUUCGAUUUAGCACAUCACUCAACCUGCAAUCGCCUUUGUGUUUAUCCGGCCGCAAGUAACAACAACAAACAUGUACACCUUGUCACAUAGCUCGUCGAUGAGGCGAAAGUAGGCAUAUCUCCACGCCCUUUUGAAUAGGAAAGCACAGAACACAAGCCAGAGUCCGACCACAAAGCCAGACGCUAUCCCAAUGUAGAAGAACAUCACUGGGUCAUAAGCAUUUUCACCUCUCUGCUGAUUCCCAUACCCCGGUGGACUGUUGCCUGAGCAAUUCCUGUGAAGAGGACGCCCGCAAAGGCGACUGUUGCCAUCAUACAUGGACGGAUCUUCUGCGUACAGAGUAUCUAGUUGACUGCCUGCUGGAAUUCUUCCUGCAAGAUUGUUGUAUGACAAGUCUAAGGAGCUUAGAAAUGUCAAAUCUGAGAGGCUCGUUGGGAUUUCACCGGAGAUAUUGUUUCUUGACAAGUCGAGUGAUUCCAGUGAUUUCAUAUCCCCAAUCUUCACAGGAAUUUUAUUGCUCAGGUGAUUCAAUGAUAAAUUCAAACUCAACAGUCCGUUCAGAGAAGUUAUCUCAUCUGGAAUUUCCCCGGUCAAUUGGUUGAGCGAAAAAUCAAUGCUGACCAUGUUGAUAACUGCAUCACCACUAAACUUAAGUUCUUGCUGCUUCAUCGCCACAGACAAAAUAUCCACGGGAAGCUGCAGAAUUAUACUGCUUUCAGACCACCGUGAGUCAAGUCUUCGCAGAUGUUUCAGGGUCAUAGCUCUUAAUUUUGACAAGGAUGAUGGAAUUGAUCCGGAUAUAUUGUUGCUCGCUAAACUGAAUUGUUGAAGUAGUACAAGACUUGUAAUGCUAGCUGGAAUAUCUCCAUUGAACAUGUUAUGGUUUAGCUGCAGAAACCGCAAGUUCACUAGGUCCCCGAUCCAUACUGGUAAUGCUCCACCGAACUUGUUCAUUGCAAGAUCAAGGAAAGUCAAUUCUGAACAGUUUUGGAGCAAUGCCGGGAAAUUUCCGGAGAAGUUAUUAUUACUUAAGUAUAGGAAUUGUAAGCCUGACAUUGAAGAACACCUGGGAAAUUCUCCCACAAAUCUAUUCUGGGACAAAUCCAAGAAAUACAGGUGUCGCAACUUGCAAAUAGGUCUAGGAAUGUGACCAGUGAUGUAGUUGGAGGAUAGACUUAGUACAGAAAGAUCUGGAGCUCCAAAAUCUGAUGGCAAAGGUCCUGACAAGCUGUUCAUGGAUAAGUCCAC